AUCGGCCGAGCCGAGUGGCCCCGCGGAGCCGGCGCGCUCUCGCCUGCAGGGGGAGGGCGGACGGGGCGCGGGGACCGGCCAGGCCGGGGCGGGCGCUGUUUCUCUUUCACUUUCCUUUGCUCUGAGGCCGGCGCGCUGGCGGGCGAGGAGCGGCGGCCGCUGGAUAUGGGAAAGCAGAACCACCAAAAGGAGUGAUGAUCAGCGAUCUCAUGAUAAAUCUGGAUGUUAGUUCUCAUGCCUCAGGACAUCCUUUUAGGAACACCACACCAGCUCCUGGGAUCAGACUUGCAUCUACUUAGUGUACCCUUCUUUGCCUGAACUACUAAAGCCAGUCUUAGCUAACCAUGAAUGCUACCCAAAGGAAACACUUGGUGAAAGAUUUCAAUCCUUACAUUACCUGCUGUAUCUGUAAAGGUUAUCUGAUCAAGCCAAGGACAGUGACGGAAUGCCUCCAUACCUUCUGUAAGACUUGUAUUGUCCAGCACUUUGAAGAUAGUAAUGAUUGUCCAAGGUGUGGCAACCAGGUUCAUGAGACAAAUCCACUAGAAAUGUUAAGGUUGGAUAAUACACUAGAAGAAAUUAUAUUUAAGCUGGUCCCUGGACUACGAGAACAAGAACUUGAGCAUGAAUCUGAAUUUUGGAAGAAAAAUAAGCCUCAAGAAAAUGGACAAGAUGAUACUUCAAAAGUUGACAAACCUAAAGUAGAUGAAGAAGGUGAUGAAAAUCAAGAUGAUAAAGACUAUCACAGAAGUGACCCACAAAUUGCUAUCUGUCUAGAUUGUUUACGAAAUAAUGGGCAAUCAGGGGACAAUGUAGUAAAGGGCUUAAUGAAGAAAUUUAUUCGAUGUUCUACACGUGUAACUGUGGGAACUAUUAAAAAAUUUCUAAGUUUAAAACUAAAACUUCCAAGUUCUUAUGAGUUGGAUGUGCUGUGCAAUGGUGAAAUUAUGGGGAAGAAUCAUACUAUGGAAUUCAUCUACAUGACAAGAUGGCGACUAAGAGGCAAAAACUUUCGGUGUCUGAACUGCUCAGCUUCGCAAGUCUGCUCUCAGGAUGGCCCUUUGUAUCAGUCAUACCCUAUGGUAUUGCAGUAUCCACCAAGAAUUGAUUUCGGUUAGACCAAGGGGCACAAAUCUCUGAGAUGAAUCCUGCACUGUUUACUCGUCGACAGAUUGCACAGUUAAUGGUGUGUGGACUAGAGGGACACAACCAGAUUUUCAGCAUGCAAAUAAGGCCAUUGUCUAUCUAUAAAUUGUCAAUUACAUUUAUGUUAUUUCUAUUAAGAGCAAACCAAGUGCCAUUCUGCUACUGAACUGUCUGCAUAGGGUAUUUGUGCUGUCUCACAGUGUGCAAAUCCUAGCUGAGAUCAGUUAAAGUGUGCAGCCAUGAUUCAGCCUUCUGAAUAUUUUGCUUGCCUGUUCCAAGAUUGUUCUAAUGUUUAAUUACACUAGUUAAAAUGGCUCAAUCUUUGUGGUGUUGCAGUUUUCACAUACUUAGUAUUUUAUUAAUUCUUGUUUAAAUAGAGUACUGUACAAGAAACUAAUAAUUAUCUUGAAAUUGUUUUAUAUGGAAAUAUAUUUAGAAAAGUGGUUUUUGAGCCACUAUCCUGUUCUUGGUAAGCUUUUUGUGUAAAAAAAAAAUAGUUAAUUCUUGAGUGUGCAAGUCUGUUUGCAAAGAAUUUCGAUUAUUUAACAUUAGAGCACAUCAUAAUUGUAGACAUUCUAAGCAUCUGUCAGUGUAGUCUACUAAUUGCACAAGGAAGGCAUGUUAGCCCUCCAGAUUGAAAAUGUAUGUGACUUUUUGGAGAACUGAAGUUAGAUUCACAACCAUUCAAAAUGUUGGCAGCUGAUCACAUUUACUUCUAAUAAAAUUAAUGUGUAAGUAAGGUUAAUCUUCUUUCAUAAUGCCUUAUGACAAGUGGGUGUUGCUUCAUGAAACUUCAUUGUAAAGUCCAUUUUAUGUAUGUAUCAUUACAUUGUUGCUGUCAUUUAAUGAGUGCAUUGUUUCUCUUUUUAAGUUGGCCUUAGGUACAUGUUAUUGUGGCAUGCAGAGGGUUAUGAUUUUAAAUAUUAGGAUUUUUAGAGCAUAUAACAUUAGCUAUUUUAUGGAUUUCAAAAGUCUAAAAACAGUUAUAGAUUAAAACUGUUAGUUAUCUUUUACAUUUCCAAACCAUAUGCAUAAAAUAGAAUAAAUGCUGU